AUGUGCACGUCACUUGGUUGUGCUAUUCCCAGUUUGGAACAGGAAGAACACAGACAGACUAGGGCAUCGGCGGUCAGCCGGCGGACCUCGCCGUGGGCGCUGCGGCGGAAAAAGUUCGCCACAGUACGGAUGUACUGUCCCCCGACUUCCAGCGGACAACUAGCCCCACCCCUGCCCGCCCUUCUCCAAGUCGGCGCAACCCCCUCCACAGCCACACACAGCGCCCAGCUCCACCAUCCGCCGACGCCGGAGAAGAGAACCCCCAGUCUUCAGGGAAGGAUGGAGUCAAUGAAAAGCAUGCAUUGCUCCAAGUGUCAGGUCAACUACAGCGAUAUGACUUGA
rnacentral:rRNA from 1 species